rnacentral:lncRNA from 1 species
AUGUAUUUGAUGAAUAUUCUUGUACCUGGAAUGUUGUAUCAUGGACCUGUCGUGCGUCAGGUGUUAUCCUGGGCUGAUGUGUGAAGGCCCCCUGCUCCAUGCAGAUUGAGGUGCCACAGGAGAUGGUAUUAGAGGAGCCAGGCUGGCAUAGAUUAUCCUAGCAUUAGAUCACAACUACAAUCAGCCCGUAAUGACCCUAAGGGAUUUGACCCAUCCCUGGCAUCCGGCAUGGCCACUGUUAAUCAACAGAUGGCGCAGUCGAGACCGACAUGUCCUCACCCCGCUGUCCCCGCCUAGUUAUUCGUGGAACGUGUAGCAACCCUAUCCUUUCUGGUUGGCCGCACCCUUCGCCAUUAAGGGAAAGGGGCCACACCAUGCGGGCCUGUCCCCCGUAGCUGCCUAUAAAACCCCCUUUCCGCUAUCACUCACCCCCUCAGUCAGCCAUGUCCCUGCAGAAAAGCUUAGCUAGUAGCUCCCCAGCCAUGACUAGCAGCUUCAAAGCUCCCAAGUAUUACACCUGCACCUGUGUCGUCAACCACACUGGGUUUCCACCCCUCCUUACCGAGAUGCUCACCAAAGCCUUUGGCUGUAAAGCUAGCCUUGAUUACCUGGUGUUCCAAUCGACACCCGUCCCUCACCUUCACCGCUUUGAUGCAAGAGUGCACAUCAGCCUAGGUCAUGCAGUACAUGGCCAGUCGUUGGUUUUUCAGGGGAGGGCCAUGCCUACCACUGAUUUAGCCAUUCUGGUCGCUGCUGUGGAGGCUAUGCUUCACCUCUGAACCAAGUUCCCGCAUAUGGCAAUGAGGCGGGAGUUCUGCUUUUUUCCCAUUGUGACAGAAGCAGGAAUGCAACCUUCUCCCGCUAUCCAAGGAGAUGACCCCGCAAUCACUCGCCUGGUGCAAUACAUCACUACCCAGGGGAUGAUGAUUUCAAAGAUGCUUGCCGAGUUUAGGACCAUGGACAAUGAUGUGGUACAAGUCAUCAAGGAAGCUUACCGUGAGGCUUGUAAAUUCGCAUCUCAAGCCGUUUGUCCAAUGCCAUGUGAACCAGUGCCAUCCUCUCAGCCUGUGCUGUGGCCCAAGCCAAACAUCAUCACCCUCGACAAGGCUCUUUUACAUAUCCACCAGCAGCAUUUGCUUGGAUCAAUUUCACCCACACCUCCAGCAGUAGAGCACCAACCCAUAGUAGUGUCAGACGAUGAAGAUGGAGAUUGGCUCAGUCUUCGUCCUCUCGGAGAGCCCCAGCAAGGCCAGUCUUCUGCAUGACCUCAGUCACGCAGUCAGUGGUUUCUGCUAGUAGGUCGGUCUGUCGGUUCAUCCCUGAUAUGAGGAUAGAACCAUGUAUCCCGGAGUGCGUAGUUCCGUAGCACGUUCGUGCUUGUUGUAUGAUGGUACUGUUGUAAUCAGUAUGCUGUGUUAUUUGCUUUCGUGCUUUUGUUUUCAUGUUUGUUUUUGCUUGUCUCUCUGUCAAGCAGAAAUGUUUGGCAAGGUUUGCACUGUGUUGUUAACAAGAUUUUAAUCAGUAGAGCACAUACACGAAAAACAACAUUGACUCGUCCCGAGUCUAUAAUAAAAUGCGCGCUGGUGUAGGUAUAUGUAUACCAGGAGUACAUAUACCCACUAGCAUUAAAACACCUUAGUAUGAUUUGUCUGGUGUGUUUUUCUGUUGCAUGUUUAUUGCCUCUGUCUGUUUGCUAGUUUAGAUUUUACUGCAUAUUGCACGCAUACCCGGUUCACCCACGAGUACAUUCGGGCAGUACUCGGGGGAAUGCAAAGUCACGUAUCCCUCUCUAUUUGUGCAUACCCCGUGUGCCAGAUUUCUAGACCCAGAGCCUCGAAGAGGCAUUUUCAUUUGGCCAUUUCUCGUCCCUAAAUCUUUUUCUUAGCUCCAAUUUUGUUUUCGCAGAAACGCUGCCAGCUUUACUUCUCUCGAUCCAGUCCAACUACCCCGAUAUAGAUUUUAACCCCGAGGUUUUUCCCCGGAAUGGUUAUCCUUUCAUUUGUGUUGUAACCCUAGGAAUCUCGAGGACGAGAUUCUUUUUAAGGGGGGAAGAGUUGUAACAGCCCCAAAAUUGGGUUACCAAUUUUUAUGCUGUUACUCCUUCCCGGCAAUCAUUUUUAAAAUCUUUCUCUUGAGUUUGUUGGAUGACUCUGAGAAUUCUUGUCAUUUCCAACCUUUCAAAACCUUGCUCAUGUCUUUUUCAGUGGGUAAGACCUCAUUUGCAUCAGCUCCAACCCUCUCAAACCCUAAUUCCAAAUUUUUGGAAUUUGAAUGUGGCCUUUGUGAUCACAAAGGAGCCACCAUUUUCUUUGAUCCGUUGAUCAUCCAUCUAUUCCUAGAGACCCUUCUAUCUUUCUAAACCUUGGAUAUGCAAAAAUAUUGCUAAGUUCCAUGCAAUAUUUUUGAAUUAUGAUUUAUUUCUUUUCUUGCCUUUCCGAGGAAUAAAAUCCAAAGGUAUAGCUAGCCAUAUACUAAAUUCAUGUGAAUUGGUGGAGAUGAUAUUUAUGCCUAAUCCAAGCUCUCGCAAAGAUAUUGGCCAUAAUUAAAUAAGGAAAAUUGCCUUUUCUUAUUUUAUGCCAAUAUUGCAUUUCUGCCAUUUUCUAAAGGAACUACUAUUUUUGUAGCAGACAAAAUUCACACAUAAAUUGUGGAGCUUGUCCUUGCUAUAUAAUCACUAGUUCCAUCCUUAUCUCAUGUUCCACAGGUCAAAAAUUUGGCACAUGAUCCAAUGCAAGUUUCUGCCUUCUUUGAAAUUUUGCAAAGGAAGUGCCUUAUUCCUAAUUAUAUUUGAGCUACAAUUUGUCAGGGUGAUUAAAAUGGAUAAAUCACCCAUGGACACCAAAGAUGAGCUCAAUUUAUUCAUCCUAGCCCCCCUGCAAUUUUUCAAAGUUUCUGACCAGAAUGCAACUUUGUAAAGGAAGUAUCUUCAUAGAGUUUCCAAAUGGGAUGAAACUUUUCCACCCUCUCAAGUACACCAAAUCAUUAACCUCCACCAAAAUUUAGAUCAUUUCAUUGAGCUAUGUGAGCACAGGAGCAAUUCUUGUUUUCUCUCCAAAUUUUCAGUUUGUGAAGCAAGUAUAUUUUAUCUUGCUCCACUAUGGCUGAAAAUAUUCCCAAGCCUUCUCCUAUCCUUAUAACCCACCUAAGGAAGAGUUUGUAUCAUUUCAUGUAGCCAAUAUUUUCCUAGAAUUUUCCCAAGUUUCUGGUCAAAAGUGAUGCUUGUGAAAAGAGUACCAAUUUGGCAAGUCCAUUUGGUAUUAUCUUUUUUAAGAAUCAACAUAUGACAAAAUCAUGGAGAUUUGCCAAGUGAUAGCUCUAUCCAAGACUCCUAGUGAGUGCUUCUUCAUCAUUUGAUUUCUGGACCAGAUUUGGCAUUUGCACUGCAACUAUGCUAAAUCCUUGUCCUAAUGCCCUCAUAAUUCCCAGGGCCGUAGUAUUUACUAGCCUAAGCCUCGCAUACAACAAUUUUACCUUUUAACCUCUCUGGCUUUAUCUCUAGAAUGUUGCCAAGUUUGCAACAACAAACUUGCGAGGCUUAAUUUUCUCUGAUCCCUUUGUCUCUGCCCAUUCAUUUACCGUGGUAAUACUCUACAUUAGAUGGACUAUGCUAUAGACAUGGUUUGGCCUGGAGUAUAAUGCCAGAGCGUGCGUUGUCUACGGUGACCACGGGAGCAGCCAGCCAAAACGGUGGUCUAUGCACUGUUCUCGUCGGCAGUGCUGCUCCAACCGGCUCUGGCCUCGCCAUUAAUGUCCUACAGUUCCCCCUCGGCGUCCUCUUCCCUCUGGACCGGUGGCCCCCUACGUUUUCUUCUCCGGCGAGCCGUGCCAACGACCGAGCAGUGCGCGCCCGUGAGCUCGUUUUCUUCCUCGCCCAUGUCCUCUUCCUCCUCUCGUCUCCGAGCGCUGCUCGUCUCCGUGACUCUCUGCCGAUUGUCCGCUUCCCCCUCAUCGGCUUCCCGUGUCUCCUAGUGAGCUUUGGCCGCGCCUGCCAAUGCUACUCCAUCGCCGGCACACGGACACGUCGCCUGCCGCGUGCCACCUCCUCCCCUCCUCAUCGAGCCCUCCCCGAGGAUAUUUAAGCACCCAUCGAGCUCCCUCGCAGUCCACAAGCCGCCCCAAGACACUCACCCCUUCCCGGAGCUCCUCCCUGACCCGCACCAUCGCCACGGCCGCCGCCUUGGGUCUCGCCCGAUUCCAGCGUUGUCGCGCCCCUCUUGCCGUUCCACCUCCCCCACUGCAUUUCCCAUGGUCCGGCGAACAUAUCCGUGGCCUCGCCCGUCCGUUUCCCCCACCAGAGCACCUACCUCGCCGGCGGCCGAAGCCCACCUCCGCCGCGAGCCCUGCUGCUUCUUUUCCAGUCCUCCUCGCUGGAAACGGAGGCCCCCACGGGAUGCGCCUCUUGCUGCUGAGGUCGGGGGUAGGUCGCCCGUCGUCUGCGGUGGCCGGAGCCGCCGGCAAUCGCCGUCGGGGCGGUCCCCUGCCUCGGCUAGUCGUGCGGCCGAGCCGGAGGUUGAAGAUGCCAGGCUAGGUGGGCCCGUCCCUGUGCGACCCCACCUGUCGGCGACCGAAGGCCCUGGCCCAGCGCCAUGUCGGAUAAGUGGCGGCAGCCCCGCCGCGAAUCCGUUUCCCCGCGUAAAGGUGUAUUCCUAGUUAGUACGUUUCCCACUUCAGAAAGCGUAUUAUUUCCCUUCGGAGGCCGGAAAUACGUUUUCCUCUCCGGAAAACGUAUUCUCAGAAAAUACACGUUCUGUUUAAACUACCAGGGACCUGUUCGUAGAAGUAUUUCUAUAGACUAGUCCCUCAGCUUUAAACGUUCGUAUCUUUUUACCUGUAACUCCGAAUGAGGUGAUUCCAACGCCCACGUUCUCUAUUCGUCGAUCUCUUUUCGAUGGGACUAUUUUUUUCAUGUUUGCACAUUCUGAAAAUGCCCAUUUUCCCUUCCUCUAAUUUAGCCCCUCCGAGAGAGAACUGUUUCCUGCAAAUAUUUCUGCGAUCGUUUCACACUUCUUCCCAGAGUAUUUGUCCACCCCCAGGCAAGCCAACCUCUUAUCAUGAGCCCCGAACUUGCAUGUUGACUUUGCUUACACCUUGUGUGUGUAGUUGCAGUUGUUUCUUAUCGUUUUCGUUUGUACUUAUUCCGUUGUGCUUAACAUGCAUGCUUGUGUUUUCAUGAUAUCUUUUGCCACGAUAAUUAAAAUGAUGUUAUUGAUAAUGCCAUGUCACUACUAUACUUUAUUUUCAUGUCAUCAUUAUAAGAUGUUAUGAUGAUUGUAAUACACCAUUGAUAUGCUAGUACUUGGUAUUGUCAUGUUCUUUAUGCUAUAGUUGUUCACUUGAGAAGUUUGGUAUUUUAUUAAAGCAUUUGUAUGAUGCAUGCUCAUUGUGGCAUUCAUGUUAAAUAUGUUCAUGAUGAUGGAGAAGAUAAUAAAAUGACUUAAUAAUAACAAAAUUCCUCCGUCAUCGAUGGUAUCGAGUCAUACUGCCACCAAAUCAAACUUUUUCCAGUGCAGCCACAUUUGCCUGUUAUGGGCAGGCCCUAACUAGAUCUAUUGUCAUGCCUCUCGCUGAUGCCUCCAACGAGGGAAGGUUAUGGGCGCGCGCUACCCUGAUCAGGUAGGCGGACAUAAUCCUUGUGUGCCCGGGUUUGGUUUUGAUCUCAUGUCCCCGUUUGGGACCGUUUUUGUUUUGCCACGACGGUGGUCGUUGGUGUCUUUGGUAGACACGGGGCCACCCAUGACUUAGCCCGGUGGGGAGUGAGUCGGAGUGGCCGGGAGAGUGUCAUGGCAGUAGGACGGUUUUGUCGGAAUGCCAUUGGUCCAGCCGAAUGGGAGUGAGAGGCCAUGGAUUUCGUUAUGUGGGUACAGUGCGCUACCUCUGCAGAGUGUAAUUAAUUCUAUCGAUAGCCGCCCAGUUUGUAAUAGGUCACACUAUCAGGUCUUGUUCGAAUGGAGGAUAAACCUGAAAUAAUUAAGUUGAUGAUUAAUAAACAAUGUGGUGACGUGGACUAUGAGGCAAUCGUGAGUAAUCACGAUGAUGUUUUGGUAUGAUCACGAGAUGAGGACUCAGUGAGUGUUGAACCAAGAGUGGUUCGGUUUGUGGUCCGUGAGUGAUCACCGCUUGGUUACAAGGUAACCCGUUGAACCGAGCAUGGUCCCGUUUGUGAUCCGUAAAUGAUCACCUUUCGGUUGCGAGGCAACCCGUUGGUAAGAGAGUCCGAGGGUCUCAGUGCACAAGUUUGGUUGCAUUGCAUGAGUAGUAAGUUGUUAUUUGCAUUUAAAUAACCAUGAUAGAACAUGAGAUGGUCGCAUACAGUUAACAUGUUAUGUCUGCAUCGGAUAUGGUUGGUAGUUUAUUUUUAGCAUAAUUUCAUGAUGCCAUGCCAUGUUUUGACUGAACAUAUGCCAUGUUUAGAUUAUGUCACAUUACAAUUGAAAUGCUAUGCUAUGCUAUGUUUUUCCGUUGCCAUGUUAGAACUAAGUUUGAUAUGCCAUGUUGUUGCCAUGCUAGUAGAUGCCAUGAUGUUGUUUAUGCUUAUUUUGAUCCAUGUCUCUAGUUGAUAUCAUGCCAUGCUUAGUUUCUGCUAUGAGAUAGGUUGUUGCAGACGCUUUGUUCUUGCUUUGUCAUCUGUUUGUUUGGAUGCUAUGUAUUUGGUUGUCUUGCAAGUACAUUCAAUGUACUGACCUGGCGUGUCAUGCCAGCUUUGUAGGUUGUUCACUUGUUCCGUCAUGCUGGGCCGUAAUCUUGGCAGUCCUGUGAGUUGUGGAGCCCAGCCAGAGUGAUAUGCUGCCAAACCAAGACUUCCUCCGCCCUUUUAAACAGACUUCCGCUGCCAUUUAAAUAGCCUUAGGGCUAUGCCAGAUAAUUUUAUUCAUUAAUGAUGUAAUCAUAUACACAUGUAUUUGAUGAAUAUUCUUGUACCUGGAAUGCUGUAUGCAUCAGGUGUUAUCCUAGGCUGACGUGCGAAGGCCCCUUGCUUCAGGUGGAUCGGGGUGCCACAUGAGAGGAGCGGCUGAGUAGGCUAGCUACGCGCUUGAAUAGAGCACCGAGAGUACCCACUACGCAGGUGUACUUUCCCUGCAUUGUUAGUACAACGAUGGUUCUAGAGAACAGUACUACCCUCCACUUCCAAUUGUAGCUCCUUGGCCCUGAGAUUCAAGAGUUCAAAACUGGUGCACUAUACUAGAAGUACAGUACAUCGCACUACUAGUUGAGAAAGUAGUACUAGUACUGCUACAGUACGAGUACGUAGUAAAUAAUAGCCCCACCCCUUUGCUAAGGAGCGAUCGAGGAGCUAUAGUUGGAAGGGAU